ensembl:misc_RNA Metazoa_SRP Metazoan signal recognition particle RNA
GCCGGGUGUGGUGGCCCACGCCUGUAAUCCCAGCACUUUGGGAGGCUGAGGUGGGUGGAUCGCCUGAGGUCAGGAGUUCGAGACCAGCCUGGCCAACAUGGCAAAACCCCAUCUCUC